GGCUCGCAAGGCUGGACAGGGAAGGGGCGGCUUCUCUGCUCAUCCAUCAAGGACCUCCCCCAUGCCAGGCUCUAUGUCAGGCUCAUGGCAGGACCUAGAUGAACACAACGCCAUCGGUGCCCAGGGUCCACCAUCUAGUGGGGGAGAGAGGUACAUCAGCAGGUCCUUUGCAUGCUCAUCACUGUGGAUGCAGAUAGGGUAUGUUUGGUCCAGACGAGGUGAAGUCAGAAGUGAGUUUCCAAGCAGAGGAAACAGAAUGAACAAAACCACCAGUGAAAGGAAAGAUCAAGUGUCUCUCAUAGCCAGGAAACACCAGUGUUUUUGGGGACAUGAUACCCACAUGGGAGACCCAGGAUUCAGUGUAGUCAGUGCAUGGGGAAACACAAAAAGAGCUUUUCACAAGUAACUGGCUCCUUUAGGGUGAGCAUGGGUGAAGACAGUGUUAGGUAGGUACUAAGUCACCGCCAUAGCUACAGUCUACUAUAGCUAUUCCUGUUUCUCUGUUUCUUCACCACUUAUGAUUUGUUCAUAUGCUGUAUCUCAUUUGAUGUUCAUAGAAACCCACUUUUUUUUUUUUUUUUGACAGAGUUUCACUCUGUCACCCAGGCUGGAAUGCAGUGGCGUGAUCUUGGCUCACUGCAACCUCUGCCUCCCGGGUUCAAGCGAUUCUCCCGCCUCAGCCUCCCAAGUAGUUGGGAUUACAGGCAUGCACCACCACACCCGGCUAAUUUUUUGUAUUUUUAGUAGAGAUGGGGUUUCACCGUGUUAGCCAGGAUGGUCUCGAUCUCCUGACCUCGUGAUCCGCCUGCCUUGGCCUCCCAAAGUGCUGGAAUUACAGGUGUGAGCCACCGCGCCCGGCCAGAACCGACUUUUUAGAGUUGAGUAAAUUGAGGCCCAGAGAGAUUAGGCAGGUUGCCUAUGGCCCCACAGGAAACAAGGAGCAACAUUGAGACUGGUUGUGAGUUUCUUAGGAUAUAGAGAAGAGGCACUUUAACAGAAAAAGCAAGGCAUGGGGAGUCAGGCUGAACUGGAUUUGGCUUUAAUUCCUUCCAGUUACUACCUGUGUGAUCUCAGAUAAGUGACUCAACCUCUGUGCUUCAUUUUCUUCAACUGUCAAAUGGGGAAUAAAAACUUUUGUGGGGCCAGGCGUGGUGGCUCACACCUGUAAUCUCAGCACUUUAGGAGGCCGAGGCAGGUGGAUCACUUGAGGUCAGGAGUUUAAGACAAGCCUGGCUAACAUGGUGAAACCCCAUCUCUACUAAAAAUACAAAAAUUACCAGGCAUGGUGGCAGGCAUCUAUAAUCCCAGCUACUCGGGAGGCUGAGGUAGGAGAGAAUUGCUUGAACCCGGGAGGCGGAGGUUACAGUGAGCCGAGAUCAUGCCACUACACUCAAGCCUGGGCAACAAAGUGAGACUCUCUCAAAAACAACAACAAUAACAACAAACUUACAUGGGAUGUUUUGACAGUAGCUGAAAAGUUGCAUGCAAAGCACCUAGCUUGGUGUUGGCCCUGUGUUACAUGCAUAGUCAAUAUUUGCACUCUGCUCUUUCCUUGACCCUUAGUAUUAGACACAGAAGUACCUGGUUCAUUCCUUUAGGCAGCAAACAUUUACUGAGGACCUUCUACUUAUUCUGCACACUAAGUAUUCAUAGAUGAAAAGGGACUUUUGUUCCUGAUCUCAUGAUAUUUAUAUUCUGGUGGAGGAGACACAGUUAAUAACUAAACUCUCAGAAAACAAUGAUCAGCCAGUGGCAACUGCUACAUAGCAAUGUAUUAGUGAGCAGCUCCACUGGUUUAAGGAUUUCUAUGAGGAGGUGACGUUUAGUCUGAAACCUAAAUGACAUGAAUGAGCCUCCCAGAGAAGAGCAAAGGGAGCACGUUCCAGGUAGAGGAAGUAGCUGGUGCAAAGGCCCUGAGGCAGGACAGGUUCGGAGUGUGGAACAGAAGGAUGGCCAGUGUGCCUAGGAGCUGGUGGGGAGGGAGGGCUCAGGUAGGCAGGAGCCAGAUUGGUAGGAGGUUGUAUGUUGGGUUUCAGAUUCAGAAUUUUGAUUUAUUGUUGUUGCUGCUGUUUUUAUAGUUAUUUUUUAUAGUUAUUUUGGAUGUAGUGAGAAUUCUUUUAGGCUCCCAAUGGCAGGGAAGGGCACCUGUGGAAGGACCAGAGGCAUGUACUCGCCUGGCCUUUUAUCAGGAUGACCCUGGUCACAGUGCGCCCCUGCUCUCUGUGACUGGGUCCCCAAGUCACAGUGGAUCGCCACUGGCUCCGGCCCUUCUCCCCAUCACCCUAGAGGCCUUCUCAGCAUCUGCCCUCCUUUGCAUCUGGUGAUAAAGGAAAGAAAACCAUUAAGCACUGGAACUCUUUCAGAUUCUGGGAAGCACUUAGAGGCUCAACAAACACUGUUCUUUCAGUUUUUCCUUCAGUUCUCUUUGCUCACAUCAGUAUUUGUCAUCAUCAAGAUUUGAGUGCCCAUUCGGCACAUUUUUCCAAACGUUAAAUGGAAACUGUUCUCGUACCUCGUUUAUUUCCCCCCUCCAUGGAGAAGGCUCCCAUAAAAAGCCUUGCAGGAUGAAGCCGUCAGUUAAUCAUCUGUAUCGGUGCAUUCCCAUGCCGUGCUGCUGCUCAGUGUCGUAAGAAAUGAGACUCCUUUUAUGAGUGACUCACCAGCUUUUCCUACCAUCUCAUUCCCCUGGGGGGAUCGGCGAGGUGAAGAAGUCGUCGGUGGUCUUUCUCGGAAUCCGUGACCAUAUUUAUUUGCUCAGGAAGAAUGCGUGAAUGCUGGCCAUCUGCCAGGAGCCAUGUAGCUCACAGGGGUUGAACUUAGAGACUGAGCCCGCCCCUGUAUGUAAGUGGCCUGCCGCUUAACAACUCUUAGAGAUGCCAACAGGAAGGGCCAUCGGGGCCCAGGAGGCCCAUGAAUGAGAAAGCAGCCUGCUCUAAGCAGUCACCAUGGCUGUCAUCCCAGUCUCUCUCCCCUCUCUCCCUUGACCACUAUGCAUGGGCCACAUCCACCUCCUUUCUGUGCCUUCUACAUUCCGGGCUCACCAUAGGGCUUUCGUGCUUGCUGUUCCCACUGGCGGGAACACCCUGACCCUCUGUGUUUAAAUGUCUCAGCUGUGACAUCACAGAAACUUUGCAAUCUCCUACCCCCACACAAAGUAACCCAUGAAGUCACUGUCUAUGACAUGCCCUGUUUCUUUUUGUUUGGUGGUUUGUUUUUUUUUUUUUUUUUGGGGACAGAGUCUUGCUCUGUCGCCAGGCUAGAGUGCAGUGGCGCAAUCUCAGCUCACUGUAACCUCCGCCUCUUCGGUUCAAGCAAUUCUCCUGCUUCAGCUUCCUGAGUAGCCAGGGCUACAGGUGCACACCACCAUGCCCAGCUAAUUUUUGUAUUUUUAGUAGACACAGGGUUUCACCAUGUUGGCCAGGAUGGUCUUGAUCUCUUUCAUGAUCCACCUGCCUCGGCCUCCCAAAGUGCUGGGAUUACAGGCAUGAGCCACCGCACCUGGCUUUUUUUUUUGAGACGGAAUCUCGCACUGUCGCCCCGGCUGGAGUGCAGUGCCGCGAUCUCAUCUCACGGCAACCUCUGCCUCCCAGAUUCAAGCAAUUCUUCUUGGCUCAGCCUCCCAAGUAGCUGGAAUCAGAGGUGCCUGCCACCAUACCCGGCUAACUUUUUUUGUAUUUUUAGUAGAGACAGGGUUUCACUGUGUUGGCCAGGCUGGUCUUGAACUCCUGACCUCAGGUGAUCCACCCACCUCAGCCUCCCAAAGUGCUGGGAUUACAGACAUGAGCCACUGCACCCAGCCCUUGUUUUCUUUUUGUCAGAGCAUCUACUCCUGUUUACAAUUACCUGGUUCAUAUGUUCGUUUCCUACAUUUUUUCAUAAAUGUAAUACCAAAACAUAAGACUCUUAAAGACUUUGUACUGUUCACCUCUGAGGUUCUCCGUCCUAACAUAGGAUAGAACCAAGCACAUAAUAAGCACCUAAUAAAUAUUUAUUGAGUGAAUGUACUAAGUAAAUUUAAGAAGUAAGAAUGAAGUACCACCAGGUAAAGGGAAGAGCAGAUGAAGAAGUGAACUGUUAAAAGAGAACAUGCUGGAAGUUCAUGUACCAGAGCACAGGCAUGUUGGGGGCAUGGCUAGGAACAAAGCUGACCAGGAGGCACCCUGACUGUGCUGAGAAGCUUGGAGUUUCUCCUCAGGGCAGUGAGGAGCCACUGAAGGGUUUUAGUGAUGGGCAGAUUUAUAUUAGAGAAAAAUCACUCAAGGUAGAGGAUGAAAUGAAAAAGACAAAACUGGAGGGACCACUUAAAGGACAUUGCCCCGGCCGAGCACAGUGGCUCACGCCUGUAAUCCCAGCAUUUUGGGAGGCUGAGGUGGGCGGAUCACGAGGUCAGGAGAUCGAGACCAUCCUGGCUAACACGGUGAAACCCUGUCUCUCUAAAAAUACAAAAAAAUAGCCGAGCGUGGUGGUGGGCGCCUGUAGUGGGCGCCUAUAGUCCCAGCUACUCGGGAGGCUGAGGCAGGAGAAUGGCAUGAACCCGGGAGGCGGAGCUUGCAGUGAGCCGAGAUCACGCCACUGCACUCCAGCCUGGGUGACAGAGUGAGACUCUGUCUAAAAAAAAAGGACAUUGCCCCAUCCCAGGCAAAAACAUGAUGGAUGGGGCUCUGAUCUCUAGGACAGUUGGCGGUGGGAAUGGAGAGAGCAGAUGGAUUGUUUUGUGGGUACUAAGAACAUGAGAGCAGGUGCAGCUAGCACUCAUAAGUCAAGACAAGCAGGUUCCUGUGCACUGCUCCAGCCCUGUUCCUCUGCUAGCUGGGGCUGGGGCUAGGGCUGGAGCUGGGGCAAAGAGAGAGUCUGUAAACAUUGCACUCCUGAACCACAGCUCUGUAGGGAGUUUACCACCUGGUCUUCCGCAGCAUGUCAAGUGUUAUCUGCAGACACAACCAGAGGGAAAGGGUAUGAUCUUGGAUCCAGCCCAAAGCCUAUGCUCCCAGCUCUGUGGGAAGAGGUCAUUAGAGCUGUGAUAAGUGCACAGAUGGUGGUGAGUCUGAAAGAAACCAAGUCAGGAACCUCUUCUUUGGACUUGAGAUCCUAGAUGGGAGCAGGCUCUGAUGGCAGUGUCUAAGUGACUUAAGACUCCUUUCGUCCACUGUAUUAGUCCAUUUUCAUGCUGCUGAUAAAGACAUACCUGAGACUGGGUAAUUUAUAAAGGAAAGAGGUUUAAUUGACUCACAGUUCCACAUGGCUGGGGAGGCCUCACAAUCAUGGCGAAAGAGCAAGGGACGUCUUACACAGUGGCAGGCAAGAGAGAGAAUGAGAACCAAGUGAAAGGGGUUUCCCCUUAUAAAACCAUCAGAUCUCAUGAGACUUAUUCACUACCAUGAGACCAGUAUAGGGGGAACCUGCCCCCAUGAUUCAGUUAACUCCCACUGUGUCCCUCCCACAACAUGUAGGAAUUAUGGGAGCUACAAUUCAAGAUGAGAUUUGGGUGGGGACACAGCCAAACCAUAUCAUCCACCCAGUUGUUAAUUCACUUAGUCGCCAGACACAGGGCUAGUGUUCCAGCAGGCAGCAUUGCAGAUUAAAGCUCGGCUCUUGGAGUGACUGUCGAGUGAGGGUUACAGACAAGCAGAGGAUUAUUAAGUAGUGUGGUUAGUGCCAGAAUAGUGGUAGUGCUUUGAGAGCACACGGGAAGGGCAUUUUACACAACUAGGUAGAGAAGGUGCAUCGAGGAAGACUUCCUGGAGGAGGUGAGAUUUAAAGGUUGAAUAAGUAGGAGUGAAGGAGUCUGAAGGGUAAACUUGGUGGGUGGGAGGGAGCAACAUGAGCACUGGAGACCAGGAGCCAACACAAGCAUGAUCACUCGAGGACCUGCUGGGAGUUGAGAGUCAAAUGAAGUCAGUGUGAGAACUAUAAAAAUGGCUGCACAGGCCAGGUGCGGUGGCUCACGCCGGUAAUCCCAGCACUUUGGGAGGCCGAGGCGGGCAGAUCACCUGAGGUCAGGAGUUCAAGACCAGCCUGGCUAACAUGGUGAAACCCUGUCUCUACUAAAAGUACAAAAAGUAGCUGGGCAUGGUGGCACGUGUCUGUAAUCCCAGGUACUUGGGAGGCUGAGACAGGAGAAUCGCUUGAGCCUGGGAGGCGGAGGAUGCAGUGAGCCGAAAUCAUGCCAUUGCAAUCCAGCCUGGGCAAUAAGAGCAAGACUCCAUCAAAAAAAAAAAAGAUAAGAAGAAAAAGAGAGAGAGAAAGAAAGAAAAGAAAGAGCUGCACAAGUUAAUUUUUGCGUUAUUUUAAUUUUUUCACUGGGAAAUUGAUAAUGACAAUAAGAGUAUGAGCUCUCUGGUAGUCUGAAUCGCUCAUUUAAUAGACACAUGACCUCAGAGAAUUCACCUAAACGCUCUGAGCCUUGGGUUUACCAUCUGAGAAAUGGGUACAUGACACCAUUGCCAUGGGGUUUUAUGAACAAUUGAAGGCCAAAAAAGAAGGACUUGGCACCAGGAACACAGUGUGCCUUGGGAUGAGUUUCUUCACAGACCCCAAUGCCUGACCCAUGUGAUCAUAAUCCACUGUUCCACACAUAGGCUUUAGGUUUUAUUAGCAACUCUGGUAAAAAGACAUAGCAGAGAAGGGAACCUGUAGAGUCUCUGAGAAAUCUGUCUGUAAAGCAUGUGAGAAGGUGUCACAUUGGCUCUAAGUCAGACAAUCCCAAGUAUCCCCACUGAUUCGGAAAUUCAGGGUAGGAAGAAGAGGCUAUUUGGUUUGCCUUGCUGCCAAAAUGAAAAUAAGGACAUCCAGUCAGGGAUGUAAUUCUUCAUCAAGGAGCCAAGAUGUGAGGGGCAGAGCCCCAUUUCAGAGCCACUGGUUGGGCUGCUUGCUCUAGGACAAGACAGUUUGAUUUGCAAGAGAACAGGCUCCCCCAGUGCUAUGGAAUGACAGUAGCUAACUGGCCACAGCCACUUGUCUCUCAUAGUUUGGGCAUCUCUCCCUGGAACUUGUAAAUUCUUUAUGUAGUGCAGUAAGCAUUUGGUAUGCAUUGGUUAUUAUGAGUUGAUUGAUUGACAUAGGGAUGGAGGUUAGAAUUCUAUACCUUAGCAUUUCUCUCCCUUUUCCUCAACAACCCAGCCCCUCAAGAAUAUCCAAGAAAUGGCAGGGUGUGGUAGCUCAUGCCUAUAAUCCUUGCACUUUUGGAGGCAGAGGCACAAGGACUGUUUGAGCCCAGAAGUUUAAGGUUGAAGUGAGCUAUGAUUGAUCCGCUAUACUCCAGCCUGUGUGAUGGAGUAAAACCCAGUCCCUAAAAUUAAAUUAAAUUAAAUUAAAUUUAUAAAAGAAUAUCCAAGAAACCCCAGGACUCUCCCAGAACAUAGGUGGAUAAUCAGAGCUAUUCUCUACCGUUUUAUCUAUUCAGAAUCCUUCCACAGUAUCCCUAAUAGGCUUGCAUCUGGCUUCUGCUGAAAUCCUCCCAAAGACAGAGAGCUCACCACCUUCCAAGGCAGCUUACUCUGCUAUUGGAAAGCUCCAGAUGCUAAAUUGUUCUACCUCAUGUUGAGCUGAAAUAUUCCCCUCUGUAAAGAACCCACUGAUCUGAGCCCUGUCCUCUGGAGUCUAGGUUUUGUUGGGGUUUUUUUUGUUGUUGUUGUUCUUUUUUUUAAUGAAACAUAAGGAAAUAAGGAUCCUUCCACCUCCCUAGUACCUGACAGCCCAGAAGAUAGCAUAGAAAGUUUCCAUUCAGUUUGCUAUUUAGAAACAUGCAAUGCUCCCUAAGUAUUGUAUUUGUAGGGUGAUGCUUUAUCAUCAAGAGGGUCUUGCUCCACCUAAGGGAAUUUCCAACUAAAGGAACCUCAUCUUUUUAAAUGCAAAAACCAUUAAAAUAGAUGGGUUUUAACCAAUUUGGACAGGAAACUUGCUGCUAAAGUGUAUGCCGUUCCUUUAGUAAGCAAACACUAAACUCAGUUUAGUAUUAAACUAAGUUUACAGUAUUUGAUGACUGUGGUUACAUUGUAAAGGCUGGAGGAGGUGGGCGGGGGUUGUCCAGAGGAGGAAAGAUACUGUUUAACCUGGCAGGAAAUGGCCCCAGACUAUUCACUGCUUAUUCUGUGGAUUCCUUUCUGACAGCUGUCACUUUCUGCUUAUCAGCUUCAGAACAACCCUUUCUGGGCUCGCCUCCUUGUUCCUUCUUUCCAAGGCAGCCAACGCCCCCUUCCCCCCACAAAAAAAAACCCACAAAGGUAUUUAAUUUAGAAAGACUGAUGGUAAAAGAAUGAUCUGUUGUUAUGUUAAAAGCUAGAUUAUGAAACAUACCAAACAUCCACAAACUACAAAAAAAAAUACACUGGACACCAAUGAAUUUUUGAAUGUAUAUGGAAUUGUAAGUCAACAGCCAGUGUCUCCGACCCCUGCCCACAGCAGACAUCACUAAUUGAUGACUGCAUUAUUCACCUAUGCCCAACUUCUUUAUCCUCCUCAAAACAGCACUCUGAGUAAUCAGUAUUGGUCUCCUAGCCUCCUAGUGAUAGCAGGGAACCAAAGCCUGCUGGGUAUCCCUACGAUAGGUAUUAGUCAUUCUGGUCUCUCCUGCAUGAGCACAGCUCUUUGUGCUGUUCUAAGACCUUUCUCUGCUUGCCUCUAGCUUUUGGGAAUUGGAAAUUUUCUACAGGGAAAGAAAGAGAAAGGGAAAUACAACUUUAAUCUUCACCACAAAGAGAGGGAGUCAUUAUGAGUCACACUUCACAGAUAAGGAAAGGAAGCCUUCAAAGAAAUGAUUUACUUGUUCAAGACCACACAACUCCUAAGUGCUGGGGCCGUGAUUAGAAACCAGGUCUACCUAACUCUAAAGCCACAAGACAAGGAAGUGCUUCCCAAAUGCAUGUAGCUAUGUAUGUCAUAUUAAUGUAAUAGUAACAGUAUUACAUAUAUCCAGGUUAUUCCACAAUUCUCCUAGUUGUUAUAUGCAUACGGUUUUCUUACUCUUUCACUAACCCUUCAAGGUAGUUCCUGUUAUCUCCUUUUUUAUUAUUUAUUUGUUUUAUUUUAUUAUUAUUAUUAUUUUGAGAGAGAGUCUCGCUCUGUCACCCAGGCUAGAGUGCAGUGGCACAAUGUCGGCUCACUGCAACCUCCGCCUCCCGGGUUCAAGCAAUUCUCUGCCUCAGCCUCUCGAGUAGCUGGGAUUACAGGCACCUGCCACCAUGCCAGGCUAAUUUUUGUGUUUUUAAUAGAGCUGGGGUUUCACCAUCUUGGCCAGGCUGGUCUUGAACUCCUGACCUCGUGAUCCACCCGCCUCAGCCUCCCAAAGUGCUGGGAUUACAGGCGCGAGCCACUGCUGUUAUCUCCAUUUUAUACAGAAGGAAAUAGAAGCUCAGAGAGGUGAAUUCAUAAAACACGUUGGUGGCAGAGCUGAAGCCGGUAUCAAGCCCUGAUUCAUAGUUGAGUGGUCUCUCUACGACUAUUUAAAAUACUCCUCUAUCUAAAAUUGCAAUGCCUGUCCCAUACCCCAGCACUCCCUCUCUCCAGGGCUCCUUCAUUUUUCUCCAUAGUACUUAUCACUAAUAUAAUCAUGACUUAUUUAUUUUUGUUGAUCAUGUCUCUACCCACUAGAAUGUAAGCUCUGUGACUACAGGGCUUUUUAUCUGUUUUAUUCAUCAGUACAUCUUCAUUAAAGAGUGCCUGGUACCAGAUCCAUGCUCAAUAAAUCUCGUUGAACAAAUGAACUAUAACAAGUCCUUUUCUUGAAGCAUUUGUGGUGUGCCAGAAACAUCCCUCCACUUGGACUCAGAAAAUUUGGCCCAAGCUGGGCAUAGUGGCUCAUACCUGUAAUCCCAGCACUUUGAGAGGCUGAGGCAGGAAGAUCACUUGAGCCCCAGGAGUUCUAGACCAACCCAGGCACCAUAGUGAGACCUCGUCUCUGUGAAAAAUAAGCAAACCACACAUGCCUGUGGUCCUAGCUACUCAGGAGGUUGUGGUGGGAGGAUCACUUGAGCCUGGGAGGUCGAGGCUGCAGUGAAUCGAGACGGCACCACCACACUCUAGCCUGAGCGACAGAGCAAGACCCAGUGGCCCUAGACCAGAUCUACGAUUUUAGGCAUAACUCUAGCCUUACAUGAACCUCGGUUUUCCCAUCUGUAAAAUGGUCAGUAAAUGCACCCACACCAGGCUAUUUGAGGAGAGUUAAAGGGGUUAAAGUAUUCAAAGUGCUGCACCAUCUAGGCAGUUAUAGUUACGAGUAUUUUCCAGAAAGCUUGUCUUGGAUACCCGCUCUCUCAACUGCUGGGAGAUCACUGCCUCACCUCUGAAAUGAAGAAGGCUUCCAAGCUUAACUCUCUCACGCUAUGAAGGUGACAGGCCACUUCCAAGGCCACGUUCCCUGACACUAAGCCCACUAAGAGGAAAAAACAACAGCAUCACCUCAACUAGAAGUUAAAAAUAAGACACAUAUAAACAGAUUCUAUAACAUUGUAUGGCAUCACCCUGCAAGGCAAUGCCAAGAAACAGAUGGCUCUGUGGAAACAGCUGUAUCUCAGAAGAAUCCCGGAGAAAGCCCAGAAUGCAUACCUGCUCUCACGUGCGAGCCACAUGUCGCCAACUCUUCGGUCACGCAGCAGGCAGCAGAGCCCAGGAUGGACAGACCCAAAACCCUAAGGCAGGCUAGGCUGCUCAAGGCCAGUCUCCAGGGACCCUCCAGGAAUGUGUUAAGCUCCAGAGAGAGGGGGUGAAGGGAAGAGGAGCUGUGGGAUCAAGAGACUCAGUGGAUACAAGUCUGGGCCACGGUUUCCCCUUGUGGCCUGGCUGCUUUGAUCCUGUUCAGCUGCAACUUACACAGAGCCCUGUUUGACCCCUCUAGGCACUGGUUGUCAUCUGUCUGCACUUGCCAGGUGUUCGGCCCUCCCUUGUCUAUAAAGCAGCUCCCUCCCUUCCUCUCCUUUCUACCAUAUCUCCCUUUCUCAAGUAGCAUCUCUUACUUAUACAGUAGAUAAGAAGGCAGCUCUGGAAUGAGGCUGCCUCAUGUGAAAUCCCAGCUGGACUGCCAGCUGUGGGAUUCCCGGUGAUCUGCUUAAACUCCCUGCACCUCAGUUUUCUCAUCUGUACGAUGGAAAUUAGUUAUUCCUAUCUGAUAGACUUAAGAGGAAUCAAUAAAGUAAGACAGGGCCAGGAGCUUAGAACAAUGUGGCAGAUGGCAAAGGCCCCCCAGAAUUAAGGUUUGUGUUAUGAUUGCACUGUGUUUGUAAUUAGUGACUGGCUUCAUUGCCUCUCCUCCUAGACCAUAGGAAUAAUACAAGCGCAGAAGCAGGAGCUCAUUCCCUAUUCCUAGCACAAGACUUGGCAUAAAAUAAGAGCCUAUGAAUUGUAUGUGAUGCAUGAAUUAAUACUGAUAACUGGGAGGGAGGAGACCAAGACUUUUUCUUAUCUCCUCCAAGUAGAGGUCAGGGCUGGGCAGACCCUCUCUGAACCUUCACUCAACAGUCCUGAAUGCAGCCCCCUACCUCCCUGCAAAAGAAUGAAAAUGGACUCAUAGUUUGGUUUCCUUAGUAAAAAAAUGCUUUGGGUUCCUGGAACUUGUUGAUUAAUACACACAGCAGGCAACGAGGAAGGUCGUGAGCUUUUUCUGCCUGUCCUUGUGGCUUAAUAAGAUGUAACUGCUUUGUGGAAACCACAGGGACAAGCUCUGGGUUAGGUUUCAGGAGACCAGAGUUGGAGCCCCAGCUUCUCUGAGCACCUUGGGCCCUCAUCUGUCAACUGAGGACCCUAAGGGCAGCCUUGCCUGUCUCAUGCAAGCAUUGGGGAGGAGUAAAAAUGAAAUAGUGGAUACGAAGCCACCAAAAAGUGAAAGCAAGUUGAAAGUGCAAAGCAACAUGCUUGAGUGGUAAUUUCCCCAUCAGUGAUUUCACCCAUUGCCCCAAGACAUCAGAAGGAGGGGUGUCACAGGAAGAAAGAAACGGGGCCUCCGAGACUCCUUAAUUGGUCCAUCGUACUAUGUCUCCGUCACUUACAGGCUACAAGCAUUCAGAUGUGCCUGUUAGUCAAGGUAGCACGAGCAGCUGUAAUGUGGCUCAACCUGCUGGAACCUUGCAGAAAGUCCACAUGGGUGUUCAUGAUUGGCAGGUAGCUUUUCUGCAGGUUGAAGGACCCAGGCUCCUUUUGUCUUGUGGCUCUGCCCUCCACAGAACCCCAGCCUGCUCUACAGGAUUCUCUUGCUCUGGCUGUCAGCCAAGAAAAGAAGGUGAAUAAAAUUUGUUCCUGAGCAAGGCUUCAGAGUGGUGCCUGUACUAGCCAGAGCCUUUCCAGACUCCAGUGGCCAGAGCUGUAUCACAGAGUUAUUCUUAACUGCAAGGAGGCUGGAGAUACAGCCUAGCUCUGUGCCCAGGAAGAGAGCAAAAUAUGGAUAUUGGUGAGCACAGGAUGUUUCUGCCACCGUGUGAAAUACAUGUGUUGAGUCCUGUGCAGUCACAGAAUCGUUUACUGUUAGAACUAGAAAGAAGCCCAGAGGCUGACCAACUAGGCAUUGUAGUGAGUUGGUUACCUGCAAGAAGUCAGAGGAAAUACACCUGGGUUUGAAUCUCAGCUACUCUGUUCGCGCACUGUAUAACCUUAAGCAAUGGCUAAACCUUUCAGAUGAUGGAUGUCGUCUCCUACUAAAGAGGACUAAGAGUGGUUCCUGAUCUAUAGAGUUGAUGUGAGUCUUACAUGAGAAAGAACCUGCAAAGCUCUCCUCACUUUACCUGACCCGUUUUUUAUGGCCUGCUUCGUUCAUGGAACAUUGUGUCUUCCACCAUCUCAUUUGAUUCUCACCUCCAUCUCCUGGGAAGAAGUAAUUGUGUUGCGAAAUGUCCCUGGUUUGAGGUCCGAAGACUGGAUUCCCAUCCUGAACUUCUUCUCGCUCACUGAAGCAGAUUACUGAAAGCUCCUGAGCCUUAGUUUCCUCCUUUGUACAACACAUAUGUGUGCUGAAGGAUUAAAUUGAUGAAGCAAUGCACCUGAAAACAUUUAGCAUUGCGCCAGUCACAUAGUAGGUACCCAGUUAGUAUUAGGUGGAUCAAGGUGCAAAGCACCAUGUAGAGGAGAAAUGAACAUGCAAGUUCAAGGAUGGCAUCUGGUUGCCCCAGAGUCCUGUGGACAGGUAUGUCUGACAGCAUACCUGACUUUCUUUCUUUCCUGUUUUGUUUUUGUUUUUUGUUGUUGUUUUUGUUUUUGGUGGUGGUGGUUGUUUUUUGAGACAGAGCCUCACUCUGUCACCCAGGCUGGAGUGCAAUGGCGUGAUCUCGGCUCACUGCAACCAUCCCCUCCCAGGUUCAAACGAUUCUCCUGCCUCAGCCUCCCAAGUAGCGGGGACUACAGGCGGACGCCACUGCACCCAGCUAAUUUUUUGUAUUUUUAGUAGAGACGGGGUUUCACCGUGUUAGCCAGAAUGGUCUCGAUCUCCUGACCUCAUGAUCCGCCUUCCUUGGCCUCCCAAAGUGCUGGGAUUACAGGCAUGAGCCACGGUGCCCGGCCACCUGACUUUUUUUCUACAAUACCCACUGUGGUUGGUAAAUGACAAUAUUCCCUAGAUAAUACCCUUUAUACACAGCAGCAAGGGCUGCAAAUGAGCUUGGGAUGUGGAUGCCACCAAAUCCCAUUAUUGGUACCAUGAAGUUCAGAGCUGGAGGUGGCCUCUUCUCCAGGACUGCCCUAGUCCAUCCCACUAGGGCAAGGUGUACUUUGGAAGUCCUCGGAGCACCUCCGUUGACCAGUACUCCCUCUCCUAACAUACAGGAGCUGAGCACAUCCAACAGAGGCUUGCUGAACAUCCAAGAUGGAUCACAUCAGCCACGCAGUCAGCAAUAAGCAAGCCUAGGUUAGGAUGUGAAAAGGUACAUGAUAUAAUCAUAACCACAUUGCUUAAGUUUCUGCAGCACUUUAGAGUUUACAAAACACUUGACAUGCAUUAGCUCAUUUGAGAAAAAUGCAGGGAAUUAAUUAACUACAGAAAAGUAUAAAGAAGCCAAUAAAAUUCAUCUGUGAAUCCACCACUCAGAAAAUCUUUGUUAACAUUGGAUAUAGAACCUGGAUAUUGCUAGGUUCAGAUGGUUCAGAAA